GGCCGUGUGGCUCAAUGGCAGAGCGUCUGACUACGAUUGGGAUAAUCAGAAGGUUGCAGGUUCGACCCCUGUCUCGGUCA